rnacentral:rRNA from 1 species
UAAAAGAUCUUAUUUUUAGUACCCCCUGCUCAAUGAUAAUUAAAUAGCCGCAGUUUCCUGUGCUAAGGUAGCAUAAUCAUUUGCCUAAUAAUUAUAGGAUAGAAUGAAAGGUGUCACAUGUUAUCUUCUUUAUUAAAAAGGUUAUUUAAAUUUAAUCUUUAAGUAAAAAUACUUAAAUCAUUAGGGGGACGACAAGACCCUGACGAACUUUACUCUAUGUUUAGCUGGGGCGGCAAAAAAUUAAACCUUUUCUUCCCAUCUCCCUACAAAACCUUAAGAUUGAUAAUCAAGUUACCGCAGGGAUAACAGCAUAAUUCUCUCCCGAAGACCUUAUACAAGAGAGUAUUUAUGACCUCGAUGUUGAAUUAAAAAUCUCCUAGAGGCAGUACUCUAGAAAGAAAGUCUGUUCGACUUUUAAAUAUUU